UUAGCGGCGGACGGGUGAGUAACACGUGAGUAGCCUGCCUUAGACAUUGGGAUAGCCUCGGGAAACCGGGAUUAAUACCAAAUAAAAUCAUAAUGACACAUGUCAUAACGAUCAAAACUCCGGUGGUCUAAGAUGGACUCGCGUCCCAUUAGCUAGUUGGUAGAGUAAAAGCCUACCAAGGCGACGAUGGGUAGCCGGCCUGAGAGGGCGAACGGCCACAUUGGAACUGAGAAACGGUCCAA
rnacentral:rRNA from 1 species